rfam:Camelus ferus unplaced genomic scaffold scaffold565, whole genome shotgun sequence.
AAUGGUAUAGCUCAGUGACAGAGUGUAUGCUUAGCAUGCAUGAGGUCCUGGGUUUGAUCCACAGUACCUUCA